AUCUACAAAGGGAACCCCAUUAGGCUAACAGCAGAUCUCUCAGCUGAAAUCCUACAAGCCAGAAGGGAUUGGGGGACUAUAUUUAACAUUAUUAAAGAAAAUCUUCAACCAAGAAUUUCAUAUACAGCUAAACUAAGCUUUCUAAAUGAAGGAGAAAUGAGAUCAUUUACAGACAAGCAAAUUCUGAGCACUAUUCACAAUAGCAAAGACAUGGAAUCAGCCCAAAUGUCCAUCAAUGAUAGACUGGAUAAAGAAAAUGUGAUACAUAUACACCAUGGAAUACUAUGCAGCCAUAAAAAGGAAUGAGAUCAUGUCUUUUGCAGGGACAUGGAUGAAGCUGGAAGCCAUAAACUUCAGCUAAUUAACACAGGAACAGGAAACCAAACACCACAUGUUCUCAUAAGUGGGAACCGAACAAUGAGAACACAUGGACACAGGGAGGGGCAGAACACACACCGGAGCCUGUUGGGAAGUUUCUCCACAGACACUACCCAAAGCAGUGCUUCACUACAGUGGCAGACAGACCUGAAAAUUUUCAUCUGAAGCAGCAGAGUGAACUGCAGAGGCAGGUCACCAACCAGUGUGGAGGCUAAAAGCGGGCCUCUUUGGGGAUUCCAGGUGGAAGUGUUGGACAUCUGUAGUAUUCCUGGUCUCGAAUCAUCCUGAUAUUCUUCAUUUUGUUAUUCACAUUGGACUAGG
rnacentral:lncRNA from 1 species